rnacentral:rRNA from 1 species
UACGUAGGGACCAAGCGUUGUUCGGAUUUACUGGGCGUAAAGGGCGCGUAGGCGGCGUGGUAAGUCAGCUGUGAAAUCUCCGAGCUUAACUCGGAACGGUCAGCUGAUACUGCUGUGCUAGAGUACAGAAAGGGCAAUCGGAAUUCUUGGUGUAGCGGUGAAAUGCGUAGAUAUCAAGAGGAACACCUGAGGCGAAGGCGGGUUGCUAGGCUGAUACUGACGCUGAGUGCGCGAAAGCUAGGGUAGCAAACGGG